rnacentral:rRNA from 1 species
GACGAACGCUGGCGGCGUGCUUAACACAUGCAAGUCGAACGGAAAGGCCCCUUUGGGGGUACUCGAGUGGCGAACGGGUGAGUAACACGUGAGUAACCUGCCCUUGACUUCGGGAUAACUUCAGGAAGCUGGGGCUAAUACCGGAUAGGAAUCCUUGCUGCAUGGUGGGGGUUGGAAAGCUUCGGCGGUUUUGGAUGGACUCGCGGCUUAUCAGCUUGUUGGUGGGGUAGUGGCUUACCAAGGCUUUGACGGGUAGCCGGCCUGAGAGGGCGACCGGCCACAUUGGGACUGAGAUACGGCCCAGACUCCUACGGGAGGCAGCAGUGGGGAAGAUUGCACAAUGGGCGGAAGCCUGAUGCAGCAACGCCGCGUGCGGGAUGACGGCCUUCGGGUUGUAAACCGCUUUCAGCAGGGGCGAAGCUUGUGGUGACGGUACCUGCAGAAGAAGCACCGGCUAACUACGUG